AUAUAGUCCAGCUAAUUGACAUGGCCCAGCAGACUGCCCAGGGCAUGAACUACCUCCAUGCCAAGAAUAUCAUCCAAGGCGAUCUCAAGUCUAAUAACAUUUUUCAACACAAAGAUGAGUGACUCUCGUCUGGCCACAGUGAAGACAGAGUGAAGCAGGGCCCAGCCCUUGGAGAAGCCUUCAGGUUCUGUUUUGUGGAUCGCAGCUGACCUGAACCCCUUCAGCUUCCAGUCGGACGUCUAUGCCAGUGUGGCUGUGCUCUAAAAUCUCACGACUGGCUCACUGCCUUACAGCCACAUUGGCAGCUGUGACCAGAUUAUCUUUAUGGUGGGCUGUGACUCUUCAUCCCUGGACCUCAGAAAAAUCUCCAGCAACUGCCCGAAGCCAUGUGGUGCCUGCUGUCUGACUGCCUCAUGUUCCAGCAAAAGGAGUGGCUCCAUUUGCCCCAGACUCUCACCACAAUUUUUCUGCUGCAAGGGUCGCUCCCCAAGAUGGAGGGGAAUACCUCUAAAUCGUCCUUUUAUCAAACCCAAGCUGAUGAGUUUCCUUCCUGACUACU
rnacentral:lncRNA from 1 species